CAGAUGCUAGCAGACGACGCGCAAGCGAGCAGACGAAAAGCAGACGCCGCCCGACCGAAAACUUUGAACGCCGACGGCGAUUAGCCGUCCUUCUCCGGUCACAGGCCAAUCAAAACAAGCAGCCGACGCAAAAGAGAGCUACGUCACAACAGUAAGCAGCCAAUCGGGUCCCCCGAUCGGCGACUAAAAAGCACCGCUCACCCCCGCAUCUGAAAGAAUCCCAACGAGCUAUUGGGUGUUUUUGGCAACGCCGCGAACGUCGUCUGCUCCGAAAGAUCGUGUCCGCCAUGGAUACCAAAGAGGGACAGAGCUUGUUCAUCAAUUACCUCAUCCUCAUCGUCUUGCUUCUUAUACUUUGGGUUCUCUACGUCGGAGUUGACAAAUGAUCGCCGACAGUGUAGAGAGCGCAGACACGCAGACACAUUUCCUUUGUUUCUCGUCUCGCAUCUUUUUUUUUU